AGUUUGAUCCUGGCUCAGGAUGAACGCUGGCGGCGUGCCUAAUACAUGCAAGUCGAACGAAUCUUCUUCGGAAGAUGAGCGGCGAACGGGUGAGUAAUACAUAGGUAACCUGCCCCUGUGCGGGGGAUAACAGGAGGAAACUCCUGCUAAUACCGCAUAGCCAUGAGCACCGCAUGGAGCUCAUGCCAAAUAUCCUUCAGGGGAUAGCGCAGGGAUGGACCUAUGGCGCAUUAGCUGGUUGGCGGGGCAACGGCCCACCAAGGCAACGAUGCGUAGCCGGCCUGAGAGGGCGGACGGCCACAUUGGGACUGAGACACGGCCCAGACUCCUACGGGAGGCAGCAGUAGGGAAUUUUCGGCAAUGGGGGAAACCCUGACCGAGCAACGCCGCGUGAGCGAAGAAGGCCUUCGGGUCGUAAAGCUCUGUUGUAAAGGAAGAACGGCGCAUACAGGAAAUGGUAUGCGAGUGACGGUACUUUACCAGAAAGCCACGGCUAACUACGUGCCAGCAGCCGCGGUAAUACGUAGGUGGCGAGCGUUAUCCGGAAUCAUUGGGCGUAAAGAGGGAGCAGGCGGCCGCAAGGGUCUGUGGUGAAAGCCCGAAGCUAAACUUCGGUAAGCCAUGGAAACCGGGCGGCUAGAGUGCGGAAGAGGAUCGUGGAAUUCCAUGUGUAGCGGUGAAAUGCGUAGAUAUAUGGAGGAACACCAGUGGCGAAGGCGACGGUCUGGGCCGCAACUGACGCUCAUUCCCGAAAGCGUGGGGAGCAAAUAGGAUUAGAUACCCUAGUAGUCCACGCCGUAAACGAUGGUCACUAAGUGUCGGGGGUCAAACCCCGGUGCUGCAGUCAACGCAAUAAGUGACCCGCCUGAGUAGUACGUUCGCAAGAAUGAAACUCAAAGGAA
rnacentral:rRNA from 1 species